rnacentral:lncRNA from 1 species
UUUUGACUUCUCAACUACUUGUUUGAUUAUAGUGUGGAUCAUAGAGCUGGAUCCACGGCUAAUCUUUGUCAUAAUACCCAUAAAACCUAGCGGUCAAACGGGAAAUGGUUCCAAUCGUUUUUCCACCAUACAUUUUUCCCAUAGGGGAUUUUAGAAACACUUAAAAUAAGGGCUUCGAUAACUGUGUAAAUCUAUCCAGGUAGGACAAUGUGAAUUUUCUCAAUAUAUUCAAAUGAGAAAUUAUUUGUUUUGUGGGCGCUCCUCGUUACUUAUCAAAUUUGUAUGAAACCAAGAGAGAGAAACUCAUCGCUGUAUUUGCGUUUCAUGACGAUUGAGCUCAUCCAAAACUUGUGGCUAGCUUGAGUCCAUUUGAUGACAGUGGUGAGUGAUGGUGAGUGGGAAUGACAAGUCAAUGGCUGACAGCGCAUCAUCUGCUGCUGAACGACAGUGCUGCAGCGUGUGGGUCGUGGAGAGAUCUUCAAGUAAACUGAGAAAAAAAUAUCUGGUAAACUGUGAAGGACACGGGGAUCUCACACUUGCGCAACUGCCAAACUGAGCAGAGUACACUGCUAAGCAGAGAGUGCACUUAACAUUGAGCGCAGUUGGCCAAAUCAAUUCCAGUAAUCAAUUAUAUAAUUAUACAUUUACUCUGACACGUUGCGACCCAGCAUUAACAAGUGGGUCGCGAUCCAUACUUUAAGAAAGGAUGAUCUAGAGGAUGAUCUAAAUCGAGGCAAAGGACCGUAUUUUUAAACAAGUCAAAGGAUGUGCCAUGUGAGCUUGCUGCAGCCCUUCCUAUGCUGGUUUGUACUUGGAGAGCGAGAGAGAGCAUAGCCUUGCUAUUGAGAUGCUGCUGAAGGCAGACCUGGCUCUCAAGAGAAGACAGGCUAUGUGCACACUGCCCACAAAAGGAGGUGCAAAGUGAGCUGCACGUCCUAACCUGCCAGAUGUAUGCCCAUAUUAGAGACACAUUUUUCCCUCAGAUUACACAAACCCAC